UACGAAGGGGGCUAGCGUUGCUCGGAAUCACUGGGCGUAAAGGGUGCGUAGGCGGCUUUGUAAGUCAGUGGUGAAAUAUGGCAGCUCAACUGUCAGGGUGCCAUUGAUACUGCGAGGCUUGAGUAGAGUUGAGGUUGGCGGAAUUGACGGUGUAGCGGUGAAAUGCUUAGAUAUCGUCAAGAACACCGGUAGUGUAGACAGCUAACUAAGCUCAAACUGACGCUGAGGCACGAAAGUGUGGGGAUCAAACAGG
rnacentral:rRNA from 1 species